rnacentral:rRNA from 1 species
UACGUAGGGUGCAAGCGUUAUCCGGAAUUAUUGGGCGUAAAGGGCUCGUAGGCGGUUUGUCGCGUCGGGAGUGAAAACUCAGGGCUCAACCCUGAGCGUGCUUCCGAUACGGGCGGACUAGAGGUAUGCAGGGGAGAACGGAAUUCCUGGUGUAGCGGUGGAAUGCGCAGAUAUCAGGAGGAACACCGGUGGCGAAGGCGGUUCUCUGGGCAUUACCUGACGCUGAGGAGCGAAAGCAUGGGGAGCGAACAGG